rnacentral:lncRNA from 1 species
GCUCCUCCCACAUACACACAGGUUCUGCAGGCAGGGGCCCCCACCACCAUCGCAGCUCUGGUCUCAGGCAGGCCUUGCUGCCAGGAGACACCCUGAAGGGUCUGAAAACAGCAACAUCAGCCACCUACAGGCCAGCCCAGGCCACCAGCCCUGCCUCGAUGGAACUCACGGUUCAUAAGCGACCAACCACUGAACAGCUAAGAGCAGACCAAGGGCUCAUGGCAGCAAUGGGCAAGGGCACUGGGAUGAGAGACAGGGAGCCUACAAGAGGAGCUGCUGUGUCCUGAAGGCCCAGCACUGUGUCCAGGCAUCCGGGACUACUGGACCCUCUUCUCCAGCUCAGCAUGGCCUCCUGCAGUCUCAGCUUCCACAAGGGGCAUCCUCUGCCCACCUGAUUCUGAAGUGCGCCCCGCCCUGGCCCUAGACCCCAGUUAAAUCUGCUCCUCCUACAGCACACCCAAGGAUUACAGGAGUAGCACCCAGGCAUGUGUGCACCAAUCACAUGCAUCCAGGAAGUGCUAUGUUCUACUGGAAUAUUUUGAAUUGAAGACACCAUCAAUAGCAAAAUGCCCCCUUAUUUUAUGGACCAC